UACGUAGGGAGCAAGCGUUGUCCGGAAUCAUUGGGCGUAAAGCGCGCGUAGGUGGCUUCGUAAGUCCGUUGUGAAAGUCAAAGGCUCAACCUUUGAAAGCCGAUGGAUACUGCGGAGCUAGAGUACGGAAGAGGCGAGUGGAAUUCCUGGUGUAGCGGUGGAAUGCGCAGAUAUCAGGAGGAACACCGAUGGCGAAGGCAGGUCUCUGGGCCACUACUGACGCUGAGAAGCGAAAGCAUGGGGAGCGAACAGG
rnacentral:rRNA from 1 species